rnacentral:rRNA from 1 species
UACGGAGGGUGCAAGCGUUAUCCGGAUUCACUGGGUUUAAAGGGCGCGUAGGCGGUCAGCACAAGUCAGUUGUGAAAUCUCCGGGCUUAACUCGGAAAGGUCAACUGAUACUGUGCGACUAGAGUGCAGAAGGGGCAACUGGAAUUCUCGGUGUAGCGGUGAAAUGCGUAGAUAUCGAGAGGAACACCUGCGGCGAAGGCGGGUUGCUGGGCUGAUACUGACGCUGAGGCGCGAAAGCCAGGGGAGCGAACGGG